GCGGAGGAUAAUCUCGGGAAAUUGAGGAUAAUACUCCAUAGGUCAGGGGAUUUGGAAUAACCCCUGGCUCAAAGUUCAGGCGCUUAAGGAUCGCUCUGCGGCUUAUCAGGUUGUAGUGGGUGUAACGUACCCCCUAGCCCAUGACGAGUACGGGCCUUGAGAGAGGAAGCCCGGAGUUGGAUUCUGAGACACGAAUCCAGGCCCUACGGGGCGCAGCAGUCGCGAAAACUUCACACUGGGGGCAACCCCGAUGAGGGAAUUCCUAGUGCCAGGGCUUUUUGUUCUGGCUUUUCUCCGGCGUAGAUAACCGGAGGAAUAAGGGCUGGGUAAGACGGGUGCCAGCCGCCGCGGUAAUACCUGCAGCCCGAGUGGUGGUCGAUUUUAUUGAGUCUAAAACGUUCGUAGCCUGUCCGGUAAAUCCCUGGGUAAAUCGGGAAGCUUAACUUUCCGACUUCCGGGGAGACUGCCGGACUUGGGACCGGGAGAGGCUAGAGGUACUUCCGGGGUAGGGGUAAAAUCCUGUAAUCCUGGAAGGACCACCGGUGGCGAAGGCGUCUAGCUAGAACGGAUCCGACGGUGAGGGACGAAGCCCUGGGUCGCAAACGGGAUUAGAUACCCCGGUAGUCCAGGGUGUAAACGCUGCAGACUUGGUGUUGGAGGCCCUUCGGGGGCAUUCAGUGCCGGAGAGAAGUUGUUAAGUCUGCUACUUGGGGAGUACGUCCGCAAGGAUGAAACUUAA
rnacentral:rRNA from 1 species